AUUUUGAAAAAUUUAAUUUAUAUAUCCAAGAACUGAUUCCAAUGAUAUAUACCUUACCACCUUAUAUACGUUGUUAUCAAGAUAUACAAUUAUUAUCCAAAUUUAUAUAUGGUCAGCUUUCGUCAGACAUCCUAUAUUAUAAAGUUCCUCAAGUCAAUACAAGAAAAAAUGAGCUACUUUUAAUUCCUAAACAUCGUUUGCGGAAGACAUCUAAUUCCUUCUUUGUAAGAGCCUGUAUUAGUUAUAAUGAACGGUACAUGGUAAAUUGUUUUUUGUAAGGGGGAUCACCCACUGCUUUAUGCCGGGUGGAUGAGAAUGUACAAAUAAAUAAAUAAAUAAAU
rnacentral:lncRNA from 1 species